rnacentral:rRNA from 1 species
UGGGGAAUAUUGGACAAUGGGCGCAAGCCUGAUCCAGCCAUGCCGCGUGUGUGAUGAAGGCCCUAGGGUUGUAAAGCCCUUUCGGCGGGGAAGAUAAUGACGGUACCCGCAGAAGAAGCCCCGGCUAACUUCGUGCCAGCAGCCGCGGUAAUACGAAGGGGGUUAGCGUUGCUCGGAAUCACUGGGCGUAAAGCGCGCGUAGGCGGGUCGCUAAGUCAGGGGUGAAAUCCUGGAGCUCAACUCCAGAACUGCCUUUGAUACUGGCGACCUUGAGUCCGGGAGAGGUGAGUGGAAUUGCGAGUGUAGAGGUGAAAUUCGUAGAUAUUCGCAAGAACACCAGUGGCGAAGGCGGCUCACUGGCCCGGAACUGACGCUGAGGUGCGAAAGCGUGGGGAGCAAACAGGAUUAGAUACCCCGGUAGUCC